AGCCCGUCCAGCCCCACUCCCAGGGACACUUUCCACUAGCCCAGGUUGCUCCAGGCCCCGUCCCACCCGGCCUUGGGCACUUCCAGGGGAUUAAGGCAAGAUCCGUUUAAGUGAGGCUGGUAGGAGCAAUCCCAGAGAAACGCCUGGGGAUUAAAGAAGAACUGGAGCAGCAGCUGUGGAGUUGAACCUUCUGCUGUGGACGUGGAGAACAACAGAGAGGAAAUGUCAAAGCCUGCUCUCAUCCUUGGCAAAACAUCAUCAAGUGAUGCCCAAGGCCUCAGAGGGAAACACCAGGAAAACCACAGCCUGACCGUGGACAUACCUCCCCACUCUGCUCCUGGAGCCUCUGGAGCUGAUCCUGGAAGCUCAGCUCAGACCUUUCCUGUGGAAUUGGCAUCCAGGGUUCAGCAGCUCCUGCUUCAGCCACUCCCUCAGGUCACAGCAGUGGCUUCCAUGUGUCCUCAGUGUCCAAGGGACAUUCCUCAGAUCCCACUGUCCCCCAGGACCUGCAGCUCAUGGCUCAGCUGUUUCGGGCAGUAUUUCUCCCCCACAGUAUCUCUGAGUAGUUAAAAUUAUCCCUAAGCAGUUAAAAUUGCCCGUUCUGGAAGAAAAUCCCAGAAACUCUACAGUUUUGAGAGCUCCUGCACAAAGGCAGGGCUCCCACAGGCCCCUCCCAGUUCCUGUCUGUGCAAACCCACUGGAUCAAUUCACUGUUGCUAAAAUUUAAGCCAUUCCAGGUGUGUUUUUCCAGCAGUGCAAGAACCUGCCUGAAAAACAGAUAUUAAAGCCCCAAAUCCCGUUUUCCUGCUGAAACACACGAGGAGCUCCAUAAAAAUCCUUCCCAGCA